rnacentral:rRNA from 2 species
CGCGGAGGGCUUGCUCUCUGGCGGCGAGUGGCGAACGGGUGAGUAAUGCAUAGGAAUCUGCCCAUGUAGUGGGGGACAACUUCGGGAAACCGGAGCUAAUACCGCAUACGUCCUACGGGAGAAAGCGGGGGAUCUUCGGACCUCGCGCUAUUGGAUGAGCCUAUGUCCGAUUAGCUUGUUGGUGGGGUAAGGGCCUACCAAGGCGACGAUCGGUAGCUGGUCUGAGAGGACGAUCAGCCACACUGGGACUGAGACACGGCCCAGACUCC